AAACUUUCUCUCUUGGCGGGGGGGAGGGGGGAGGUAGAUUUAGGAUGACUUUUCAAUUAUUCAACAGUGUUGGGAUGAAAAUGGGGAAUCCAGAUGAACACACAAAAAAAAUUAUUUUCAUGUAUCUGUCAUUGCAUUUGUUGCUCAUCCUACGUUCUCUUCUUUUUUUCCCCAUCUUUUGUGUACAAAUCAUCAUCUGUUGUGAACAUACUAUUUAACUGGCACCAGAGGUAUACUAAGGGAGGAGCGGGUGUUGGGAGCCACCCACCCUUGCAGGACUAAGUAUUCUAUCAAUGACGCUGUUCAGAAUUGCAUAGUGAUAAUAAGAAGUAGAUAGGUUUUUAGUAAAUGAUAUUAUUCAUAGGUUUUCUACCAUCAAAGCACCCCUCAUUGAAGCACCUGAAUUAAACUUUCUCCAGCUAACCAUUGGCAUGUCGCUGACUGGCACUUUGCUAAACACACUGCGUGCAUUCAUUAACUCGUUUAAUCUCCACAGCAGCCCAGUGCACGUAGGUGUCAUUUCUGUCUCAAACAUGAGGAAAGUGGCACAGAGGGGUUCGGUAUCUCGCCACAGCUACAGGGGGGGCAGAACCAGGAUUAAAUACGCUUAUUAAUAUGACUUUUUCAUGCAUUUUCUAUCUUUCUUAGGCUCCAGAGUCCACCAAGUUUCACCCCAGGUGGAAUUAGCAUACCCUGCGUAGCACAGUAGGACUAGCAGCUCUGACACAAAACUCACAUGGACUGGACUCCAGUCUCCAAGAGCUCAAAGCUGCAGGGACCCCUGGGGAGGGGGUGCAGUUGCAAGAUCAGUGAUAGAAGAGCUGAAAUGCACAUUUAAAUCUUUUAGGUGUUUCUCAUCUUUGGAGCCACUGAUCGAGGGAGAUAACCUCGUGGCUAGGUCAGCGUUGGGAAGGAGGAAGUGCCAGCAGCUAACCAACGAAUGUUGCCCUGGAACAGACUCCCCAGAAUCUUUAAGACCAGGGUGUCCAGCACUGGGCUGUGGCCCCGAGCCUAGCCCAGGAAGUGUGUGAUCACGAUCACCAGUGUGCAGCAGAGGAGCCAAGCUGAUAAAGCCGGUGAAACUGGAAGGAAAAAAAAAGACAAAAAGAGUAGCUUCAUUUCCAAAAUAGAGCUGUGAAGUAGCUUAAGGUUGAUCUGGCUGGGACUGAGGGAUCUUGGAACCUUAAAAAUCAGGAGCGAUUUUAACUUGUGAUCGAUUUACUGGCGUGUAGGCCAUAGUAUAAGCGUCGUAACUGCAGUACGGACGUGUGAGUGCUUAGUGGGUGCUCGGCACUGUUUCAAGUACAUUCUGUCCACAGACUUCACGGUCUCCUAUGUAUACCCGUAAUCUUCCAUUUUCUUUCCAUCUCUCAUUUUGGGUCAAUAUGCAAUUUAGUGCCGCCUUCUUCAGGAGGAGGUCCACUAAGGCAAGAUUAGAAG